GACGAACGCUGGCGGCAUGCCUAAUACAUGCAAGUCGAGCGAACAGAUGAAGUGCUUGCACUUCUGACGUUAGCGGCGAACGGGUGAGUAACACGUAAGGAGUCUACCUAUAAGCGGGGGAUAACAUUCGGAAACGGGUGCUAAUACCGCAUAAUAUCUUCUUCCGCAUGGAAGAAGAUUGAAAGACGGCUCUGCUGUCACUUAUAGAUGACCUCGCGGUGCAUUAGUUAGUUGGUGGGGUAAUGGCCUACCAAGACGAUGAUGCAUAGCCGACCUGAGAGGGUGAUCGGCCACAUUGGGACUGAGACACGGCCCGAACUCCUACGGGAGGCAGCAGUAGGGAAUCUUCCGCAAUGGGCGAAAGCCUGACGGAGCAAUGCCGCGUGAGUGAAGAAGGCCUUCGGGUCGUAAAACUCUGUUAUAAGAGAAGAACAAAUUGUAGAGUAACUGCUACAGUCUUGACGGUAUCUUAUCAGAAAGCCACGGCUAACUACGUGCCAGCCGCCGCCGUAA
rnacentral:rRNA from 1 species